rnacentral:lncRNA from 11 species
AUGGGGAAGGCAGGCAGGCGGGAGGGCGCACCACACUCACACUCACACUCGCUCUCUCCCUCCAGCCUCCUUCCACGCACGCGCGCAGCCUCCUUCUCCCUCCUUCAAUCUCUCCCUCUCCCUCCAUCCCUCUCUCUCUCAGAUCCAGCCCUCCCAGCAGCGAUUGCUAGGAAUUUGAAUGAAGAGUGGUCCUCUCCCGCUGCUGCUGCCGCUGCCAUCUUCCUCCUCCUCCUCCUCCCCCUCCCCUCCUGCUGGAUCCCUGGUUGGGAUGCAAAACCUGAACUUGGAGAAGCAGCAUCUCUCGCGAAGAACCAGACGGAGAGCUUAGCAAUGAAUCCGCUGAAGCUCCGAUCCAUCAAAGAGCCAGAUCAACGAGGCACAGACCAUCCCUAGACGUGAUUAAAUAUCCCUUUCUUCCAAGGCUCGGAGACAACACGGAUUUACCUGACCUGUCUUCUUCACGAUUUGGCUUCAAAGCACAACCAUCUGGAGGAGGUAAGAGAACCUUCUUGCCUAGUGAUAUGCCCCCUUAUCCCUUUUCCUUUCUCCCACAUCUGUUCUCUGU